AGAGCCAUGCUGGGCUCAUAUAAGGGACAGCCACAGAAAGGAAAGCUGUUCUUGGGCCUAGGUUGCCUCCUGAGGAGGGCUGAUAUUUAGCCAGCAAGCCCCCUUCACCAGUAGGAGGGGGUUUGACUCUUCUUUCUGUAUAUGAUUAUUGGCUUAUCUGUAAAUUCUUUAUCUGGUAUUGCCAAGAACCUGUCAGAAGCAGUUUUGCUUCUCUGUGGGCAGAACAGCCCCAAUGAUUCUCUUUAAUCUUUGUGUGAGUUACAUAAAACCAACUAAUGGCUGGCAGGAACAGUGGGGGGUAGCGCCAGACUGUGAGCCAGCUGUUUGACAAUGAGGGAAGUACAAUAAGACGUUCUUGAUCUCAUUCAUCUGGAUCUGCCGUGGCAUUUCAGACAGUCUCAUCCUAGUUUGUUGAGGAGCUGGUAACAGAGAUGUUGGCUACAAAUAUCGUGCAAGACAUAAAGACAAUAUCACUGCUGUCAGAAUCUGAACUGAAUCAAAAACUGAAUGCUUUGUAGUUUCAAGUUAGAAAACUCAGGUUUCUUCACAGAAUCAUUUCUAGUAUGCCACAGCUCAGAACUGAGAGUAUGUGUGGUCUCACCACAGUCAUCCAGAAAGACAGAAUUAGUGGUCUGAUCCUUGCCAUGAUUAAAGAAAACAUGCUUGUAAAAUAAAUACAAAUUGACUGGGAUAUGAACAUUGUCACUGGGACUCGUUUUGAAGUAGUAUUUAAAAGUCUACCAAGCCAUGGAGGAAGAAGUUGGAAAAAUAACCAGAUAUCCCACAGAGGGCCAGAUCUGUUUUGCAUCAGCCUACCAGAGCUCUUCAAGGAAGAAAAGUCUCCAGAGGUGCAGGGAAUCUUAGUCCCUGGAGCCAGUCUGUGGCUCUUAGAGGAUGGUGCUGGCUGGGAACACGGUAUUCCCAGUUUUCCAAGUCAGUAAUACUUUAUUGUGUGCCAUGCUGCACAUACUUUUGCCGUUCUGAUCUUACCAGACUGUGAACUAUUCUCUUUUUAGUCCUGGGGGAAUCUCACAAAGGAGAAUUAUAAACAAACAAAUAAAACCCCUCUCUUUGUUCCUGUGUCCUCUGACUCUUCAGUGAAGCUCUCUUCCUGUGAAGAAGAGGCCUGAACUGGAGCUGAAUGGGUGAACUGAGUUGAAUAAAUACAUUUUGAUGAGCCAGGAUCUCAGAAGUCCUCAGUGGUGGAAGCUGCUGUGCUGUAGAUCCAACAAAACACUUAAAAACAACAUCCAAGGCUCUAAGUACUAGUGUAUCUGACUUAUAAUAAAGGUUCUUUAUUUGGAAUCAUCCCUCUUGCAAAGAAAACAAAUGAAUGGCUUAUCAUUUGAGAAGUGAGUUCAAUGAAAGUAUUUCUCCAUUUUGAAUAAUGUUUUCAUCCAUAAAAAGGGUAUGAAAUCAAUGGUAGAGGUCUUUGCUAAAGUAAAAAGGGUUUGUAGACUUCAAGAGGUCCUUUGCUAAGCUCAAAAAAAACCACCAAAAAAAACCAGAAAAAACCACCAAACACACAAGGAUGCUUCCAUUUUGAAAGCUAUUUUCACUGAAAAGCAUGUGAAGUUUUAUAAGCAAGAAAGCAUGGGUAAUCUGGUGAAUCUUUUGUUCUAAUAAAGUAUUCCUGCAAAUGGUUAAUAAAUUAAAAUGCAGAAUAAAUAUGUUCUUUCUCUCCCAUCUAUGUACGUUAUUGUAAUUUUACUUUGUUCAGCAACUUAAAAAGAUAUUUCUUUUUU
ensembl:lncRNA